AGGCACUUGAUGACGACCCCCUGAGACAGCGAAAGGCGUGUGCCGUUCAGAGGCGGUGUUGCACCAUCGAGCUCUGGAGCCAGAUCGCCUGGGUCCCAAUCUGGGAUUCGCCACCGUGUCUUGGGCAAAUGACUUCACCUCUUUGUGCCUGCUCCUCCACCCCACCACCACCGCCAUGGGUAUAAUAACAGUAUCCGAGUACAGGCUUGUUGAGAAAAUCGUCUGGCACAUAGUACGUGCUCAGUAAAUGCCGCCUAUUGUUAUGUGCACAUUCAGCUGUUCAUUCAACCCGAUUUUCACACGUCGCCGUUGGGGCCAGGAGCUUGCAGGGAGGCAGCUCCGUGUGGAAACCGCCUCAACUGAGAGAGGGGAGAGGGGUUCAUGCCACCUGGGGCAUGGAAACGGAGCCUCAGACGCUUUAUUUGUGAAAGGGUCUGUAUAACGUCUGUAGUGAGAAAUUUCCGCUUCCUCUUCUCAGAAGGGAUGCCUGGGGGAGGUAGAGGCCGGGCGACCCGGGGUUGCCACGCUCACCUGCACCCUGGCCCUCGGGUUUGCCUCCACUCCCGGCCGCACUCACCCGAAUUCAGGGGCGCACGGCCCUCCGGACCCCCGAGGGACACUGAGUCCCAAGCAUAAAGUGGCAGCCACCCCGAGGGUCGAGGCUUCCAUCCCGCAGGGUACCCCCACCUCCCCAUAAAGGCUGGCUGGGCUGACGGCCUGGCUGAGCCUUCCAUUUCCAAGCCGGUGGUGACGCCUGGCGGCGGAGGGAAGGACAACCGCGACCUCCACUGGAGGAACUCCUCUCUCUUCCCAGUCUCGCACUGUUGGGAUAGGUGAGGGCAGAGAGUAGCAUGGGGAGCAGACACCGUCAGGGGAAUCCGGGAGGUUGGAGGGCUUCUCAGAGCUGCACUGACUUGGGCUUCUGUUGAGGGGAUGGAAUCAAGACCUUCUGAUUCCAGAUCUGAUCUGAGAUGGGACCCUGGGAAGGAGGGGCCCUGAGAAAGGGGCAAGGUUGGGGUGGUAACCAGAUGAGACCCCAGAGAGUUCAGGAGGAAGACUUCCUUAGUCUUUUCUCCCUCUACCCCAUUUGGGGUCAUCAAUUUUCCCCUUUGGUGCCCCAGCCCCCCAGUAUUUCAAUGUACAUGGGGAGAAUGAGCCUCUGAAUGGCCACAACCUGAAAGGGGCUUCAAUCCCAGUGAUGCCCAGGAGGGGUGAGCUGCAGCCAUGGAGGCCUAACUGACCAGCAGAAGACAUGGAGAGGCAGCAGGAAGGAUGCCGCUGGAGACGCUUUUCUGACUGGUGUUCUGCCCUGGACCACCAUAGCUGCCACACUCACGCAGACUCGGCACUGGCCUGCCCUGCCCCGACCCUUGCAGGCUUAGGGGGGUGGGGGGCGGCAGCAGGAGGUCUGACCUGAGCCCAAAGGCAUAACCUACUCACUCCUGAUCACCAGGCCCGAAGUCAACCAACUCUAAACACGGGAUUCAACAGACUCCACCAACUCAAGACCGUGAACUCCUAGAAGCCAGGGACAGUCUUCUUUGGUCCAGCACCUGACACUCAGGAGGAGCUCAGUAAAUGUGCGUGCAAUUGAAUGAAUGAAUUCCAUGGGAGGCCAGGUGGGGAAAAGGUUUCCAGCUGGAAAGAAUGGGGCGGGGAUGACAGCCUUUAAGGAGAAGGUGUGUGGGGGCUUUUGAGCUGGAUGUUGAUGACAGCAUGGAGAACCACGGAGAACAGUCUCUCAGGAGAAGAUUUACGGAUCUAGUUUCUGUCAAAGGGGAAUGUCAAUUUAGGGAGAAAGUUGAUUUAUUUAAUAAAAGUUGCUGCCAUAUCAGUGAUCCAUCUGGAAGAAAAUAAAGUCAAAUCCUCCACUCCUACCUGACACCACCUACACGAUAGAUCCCCAAUGGAUUAAAAUUUUAGAGUGAAAAAUAAGAGCUAAAAAUAUUAGAAGAAAAUUUAGAAGAAUAAUUAUUGAAACUUGUGGAGGCAGGAAACCCAGAAGCCAUACAAAAGAAAGAUUCGGUUAUGGAAAAAAAGAUUUCUGAGUGAUGUAAGUUCCCAUAAAUAAAAUAAAAUAGCCAACAACAACAGACUGCAAAAAA